rnacentral:misc_RNA from 1 species
GAUGAAGAACGCAGCGAAAUGCGAUACGUAAUGUGAAUUGCAGAAUUCAGUGAAUCAUCGAAUCUUUGAACGCACAUUGCGCCCUCUGGUAUUCCGGGGGGCAUGCCUGUUCGAGCGUCAUUAUAACCACUCAAGCUCUCGCUUGGUAUUGGGGCUCGCGGUUCCGCGGCCCCUAAAAUCAGUGGCGGUGCCUGUCGGCUCUACGCGUAGUAAUACUCCUCGCGAUUGAGUCCGGUAGGUCUACUUGCCAGCAACCCCCAAUUUUUACAGGUUGACCUCGGAUCAGGUAGGGAUACCCGCUGAACUUAAGCAUAUCAAUAAGCGGAGGA